CAAAGCGUAGCUAAGCAGCUAAAGCAUCUCUCUUACACUGAGAAGACACCCGUGCAACUCGGGUCGCCUUGA
rnacentral:tRNA from 2 species